AAAGAAAAAAAUAAUAAAACUAAACAUAAGUAAACAGUAAGUUAAAACUGAAGAUUACUUAACUUAGUUAUUAAGUAACCUUUUGUUCAUUCAAAACAACAUUACUCAUUCUGAUUACCACAAGAAGACUCACAAAAAAAUCAAGCAUAACAUUCCAGGCGAAGCUUUAAUCUUCAACUAAGCACAUUCUCUGGAAUCUCACGAGAGACUAAGUCUGAGAUAUAUUUUAUGUUAGUUUAUCACCCUUAAGCCCUUAAUUAGCAUGAGGUCUCACAGAGUUACUAGAUGAGAAGGUCAUUUUAAAAAUUACUUAGAGUUACUGCAUGGUUCUUGUAAAAAAUAAAUGGAAAAGAGGUGAUAGGAGGGAAAUCUAGGACUGGGUCACCUGGAAUCCCAGCAGGUUUGACAUAAGUGUGCACACAGUCUCUGAAUACUGCUGACAGGCACAAAGGCGGUCGGGGAGGCAUGGAUUCUUCUCCUGGCUCUGCCUGUAAGAUAUGUUGUAUUCACGGGAAGGUACCUGGACAACUUCUCAGAGACCCAGCUACAAAGAGAGGAUUCCACCGGAUUUUUGAGUGGCAGAAGGAGAGCACCCACCGGUGAGCAGCGUUCACCAGUGAACGUUAUGUGGAGGUACCAAGCAAUGGAAGGAUGUUAGCGGACUAAAUAAAAGAUUCCAAAAGAAGAGCAGAUUGCUACCCAUAAAACUAAGCAACGUCAACGUGGAAUUACUGGAAGAAUCCGAAAGUCUUUGCAGAAAUGCUGUGCUUACUCCAAUGUUUCUCAAAAACCAGCUAUUUUAAAGGGACCAGGGUCAAUAUAAAUGAAAUAAAUGGAGGCUAAGAUAAAAUAUGUCAGAAAAUUUGCCGAAAGGUUAUUUUAAGGUGGCAUGUUAAAAACAAUAAUGGGCCAUUAGGCUGUCUUGUUAAAGGCAUUAAAGUCACAGGCACAAUGUAUGAGUCACAUGGGCAAGAUUUUCCACUUUAUAUAUAAAAACUUCAAUAUUGAAUUUCUGGUAAAAGUAAAAUGUUGCCAUUUCUGUGUAUAUUAUUAUAAAUAUUCAAAUUAAAUUGUAGGCAGAGGAGUAAGCAAUGUAGUAAUGUCUCUAGAAAUGUGUUAUCAAAAUGCUAGACAUUCUAAUUGACAUUACAAUACAGACUUUAAUGUAAUUUUUCUUUAUAAUUAAGUAGGCAUUGAAAAAAUCUUUUGGCUGAUCAUUGUGCAUGCACGCAUACUGCUUUUUACAAGCAAGCAUCCCGUCGUCAAAGGCAUUUGUAAUUAAUUUACUUUUAAAACAAAAUUUGAGCAUCUCCAAAGACUAAGAUAAGGGACUAGAUAACUUAAUGUUGUAUAAGAAAUGGUUACCUCACCUUUUAAUGUAGAAUUGGAGACAGAUGCUUGAUAUAUGAGGUAUACGCCCUAUAAGGAUGGCUUCGUCUAUUUUGUGCCUUGCUGAAUCUCCAGAACCCACAACAAAAUGUACCACAUAUAAGAAACUCAAGCAGAGUUUGCUAAAAGAAGGAAUUAUUAACAAAUUCUUAUUGUUUACAAAAUUACUUCAAUGAUAAAUUCUUACAACCCUUUUCUGACUAUUAUGCAUGAUUUUGGAGGCUAUAUCUUAAUAAUUUGUUUUGUUUAAUUUUACAAUAAUUAACAUUAAAGAAAUAUUAUUCCUAUUAACUCUUUAUGGUCAUUGAUGAUAAAGAAAAAGUCCUUUAAAGGGACAUGGAACACUUCAUGGUUAAUUUGUUGCUGAGAAAAUUUGCCUUUACCUUUGGAAUGUAUUUAUUUGCUUUUUUUCUUUGUUAGUUUACUUAUUUUGAGUUUUAGAAUAUUCGUGGCAUAGCAUCAACAAUAAAAAAAACACUAGAUGUAGAUAAAGAUACAGAUAUGGAUAACUUCCAUUUAGGUACAAUGUCUUAUGACAUCUGGUUAAGCCACCUGCUUCUUCCUGAUGGAAACUCAGGAUCUUUAAAUGGUUUGGGCUAUUUUAGUUAAAUAUCUUAUAUCAGAUAUACCAUAUGGGAUUUUUUUUUCUUAUAGUAUUUAUACCGUCACACAUUGACUAUUUAAUUACUUUCUGAGAGUCUUGUAUUGUCACAUUUUUAAAUCUUUAAAGUAAAUUGAAAAAAUCUUUAUUUUCCAUCCAGCAGUGAUCAAGAGUUCAGAAAGGAGCUGACUUGUAAGUCCUGCACUGGGGCACUGUGGAGUCCGAGGGGGCAAAUGUACGCUGCAUACUUUGGAGCUCCAUAACACAAAUUCAUGUCUUGAAUGGGGUGGGGGAGGAGGCGUUUGCAGAGUAAAAAAGAAACAGAAGAUUCCAGAUGCUAGAGCUUACAGAUGCUUUCAUUACAGGAAACUCAUAUAAAUGAUGACAGUACACAGAAUAGAUGUGGAAAGCAGAAAAAGAUACCGGAUCACAAGAUAUGCAUCUGUACUCAGAAAAUCACGGAUGAGAUUACUGAAAACAACUGUUGGGAGUUUUCUGAUUUAAUCCCAUUGACUGGAUCACUGAACAGGACAUUUUUCACUUCCAGUUUUCAUGUUUUGGCUGACCUAGGAAAUCUCAUGGUUUUGCUUUGUGACACACGCUUUUAGGAAAAGCUGUUAUUUCUGCUGCUUUGCACUGCCCUGUCUCUACUGAACUGUGGGGCUUCGGCAGAAUUUAGAGUUUCAGGGCUGCAAGACAAACCCACAGAAAUAAUGCAAUGCUAUAUAGCUGGAGCACUGGUGAUGACAGUCCAUUCCAGUGUUGGUGACUGGAAGGGAGAGGGACUGCCACCCAGUGUUUUCACAGUGCCUAUUUCAGACAGCAUUUAAACCCACAAAGUGGGGUGGGAUGGGGAACAAGCAAGGGAAAAAAAAGAUUCCAUUUCCUUGAGGGGGUAAAAAUAAUUCAAAAGUAUCUGAGAAGACUUAGGCAUGGUAAUUCCCUAUUCCAAACAUACAUAAGUCACAGGCAACCUUAUUCUUUGGUUUCUAGGCACUUUUUUGAGUUUAGCACAAUAGGGAGAAGAAAACUGGAGGUUAGUGAAUCCAGUGGGGCAAGAGGUGAAGAGGACUAAAUUUCAGUCAAGACAACAAGGAAAGUACAAAGAAUGCAGUUUCUCUUUCAUGUGCUUUGAUCGUCUUUCCUGUUUUACCCUUAAUGAAUACUUUCUCAAAACUAAAAAUAAAACACCGCAUUCUAUUAAGUUCUGCUCUUCCUCCUAGGGAAUUCUGAAGGGGUAAGUGUCUGUUUCUCAUCUAUGAAUAUGACUCUCUACUUUCAUAUGUAUAGCUCAUGCACAUAGCUGCUUACGUGUGUUUUUCUUUUGCUGGGAAUCAGGCAGUGGACAAGAGGAAGAGGAAAAAGGAGUCCAUCCUAAAGACCCAAAACAAAUGUUAGUUUCUUCAAAUUGCUUUUACAAUUCUAGUGGUUGGCACUGACCAAACUCAGUUUGGCAUAUUGGAAGAUUUGCAGUUGCAGCAUAAAAUCACACACGUGCUGUGAGAAGCCAGGAAGAGUAGGGCAGGUAGAAGUUCGCCAUCAUCCACCUGACGCAGCAGCUCCUGGAAGGUAAUGGGCUGAGAAAGAAACUUCCUGAACAGGAGAGAAGCAUUUCUUGUCAACAAUUAAGGUGCACCGUGUGUGCAUACUCAGUGUGAAACUUGGUUUUUCAUUCCGAUGACGUGCCCACAAGGUCUCAGAUUAUUCUAAUUGGAGAAUAAUGAAAUGAGAGAUGCCAUCCCAGAGGCCUUUGAUUUGAGUUUACUAGUUUACUUAUGCCUUACACAAAGGCCACACAUGUGUACCCUCGGAGUGCAUGAGCACACAUUACUCAGAGCUGUAUUAUCAAUCCUCGAUGCCAGUCACAGCUUGCUUACUUGUGGAUGGGACCUUUGCCAUUGUAGAGAGAUGCUAAUAUAUACGUGGUCAGCAACUGCGCUCAUUACAAAUAAGCUCUCUCCAACUAAAUGAUUUAAAUAAUCAUAUUAAUAAAUACAUGAUACCCGUACGUACAAGUCACAUUUUCUCCCCCACUGAUGGCUUUGAUUACUUUGACAGACUAAGAUACGCUAAUGAUACAAAUUAGGAGCAAGAAGAAUUAAAAGGGUGUUUAACUCUGAUGCUAGGCUGUCAAUUUCCUAUAGUGCUACCAACUUACAGAUAGAUGAUUAAAAUUGUUUCAUUUAAGAAUUUUGAAUAUUUUAAAAAUUGAAUGGGUUUCUGGAGGAGGAAAAAAGAAAGAAAAAAAAUCUAUGCUAAGCUAAUUAGACAUCCUAUUUGAUUUAACAAUAGAACAGGAUUAUUCUUUGAGUGUUAAGCUCAUCCUGCAUUACUAUAAGAGCCUACAUUUUGCUAUUACAAAAUGCAUUUGCAAAUUUUGCUCGCUGUGUUUGGCUGAUUCUGUACAUUUGAUAUUAUUCAUAUAUUUAAUUGUGGGUUUAUAAAAAGAAGUGGUCAUUUACUUCUUAAUUUGUUUCUAAAGUAAUUAUUUCCAAAAUAUGAUGGUGGAUACUGUGAGUAAGUCCCAGAUAUAUGAAAUAAUGGUUCCUUUCUCUGAGGGGCUGAAAAUCUAGCAGAAAAAAAUGGCACAUACACACAGAUUACCAUAUAUCGUAGAAUCUUAUGAGUGACAUAUUAGUAAACACAAAGUACUUUGACUGCAAGGAAGUAGUACGGAUUUUUCAGUCAGGCAGUGUAGUUUUAAGCUUUGAUUUCAUCAUCAGAUAAUUAUAACCACCUUGAGAAAUUUACUGUAUUUUUUUGGGUCUCUCUUGUAUUAUGUGUAUGAUGAAGUAAUAUAUCAUAUCUCUCUUUCAUAUCUGUCUAUCUCUCAGACAUAUGUGAAUAUUACUUGAGCCAACACAUGUGAACUAUUCAGAACGGAUAUUGGUGCAUGGUAAGUACUUUUAUUAACCCAAUCAUUGCUCCAAAGAUCAAAUUUAUCUCUGUGGUUUUAUCAGUGUUCCUUUUUGCCCUAUCUACCAGACUAUAAACCAUCUGAGGUCAGAGACUUUAUUAUAUUCGUUGUCAUAUCCCUGCUGAUUCAACAGGAUUUGAAUAAUUAUUAUUAAAUGAAUAAACACAUAAAGACGUGGAUGAAUGCUUGAUAAUCAGUUGGUUAAAUAAUGUUUAGUUGUUUAGAGGCUCUAGCAAGGUCUGCAUUCUCAUCUCCUCAUCUCUAUGGAAUGGUCAUCUUUGUGUAAGGAUGCAAUAUUAGAAAAGACUGUGGGAGUACAGAAGAAAGUAGAACCCCUAUCUAUACUGUGAAAUAAAUUGAACCAGUUCUGAGGUCAUUGGGUUGACACACUACUUUCCUAUUCUAUAUGUUAUAAUAAAUGUUCAGAAAAUAAAAAACACUGGGGAAAAAAAAGAGUUCUGUAAAAAAAAAAAAAUCAGAGGUUGCCUAAAUAAAUCAGCCCUCUUCAGUGGGAAUAGCUGAAUGAGGAUAGAGUAAUGCAAAGAGACCCAUGCAGGAAGUCAGAGCCUUCAUAGUCAAUCCCAGCUGAGAAUGCCAUGACCCUGGACAAGUUACUUUCUGUUUCUGUGCUUUACUUCCAUCAUUUGGAGUUAGAAAAUGGAGGACUUAAUC